GCUUACGGCCACACCGCCUGGUUCACGCCCGAUCUCGUUUGAUCUCGGAAGCUAAGAUAGGUUGGGCUGGUUAGUACUUGGAUGGGGAGACUGCCUGGGAAUACCAGGUGCUGUAUUCU
rnacentral:rRNA from 1 species